rnacentral:rRNA from 1 species
AAUGAACGCUGGCGGCAGGCCUAACACAUGCAAGUCGAGCGAAGUCUUCGGGACUUAGCGGCGGACGGGUGAGUAACGCGUGGGAAACAUACCCUUUGGUACGAAAUAGCCUCGGGAAACUGGGAGUAAAUACCCGUAUGUGCCCUUCGGGGGAAAAGAUUUAUCGCCCAAAGGAUUGGCCCGCGUUGGAUUAGGUAGUUGGUGGGGUAAUGGCCUACCAAGCCGACGAUCCAUAGCUGGUUUGAGAGGAUGAUCAGCCACACUGGGACUGAGACACGGCCCAGACUCC